rnacentral:rRNA from 1 species
ACUCAAAGGAAUAGACGGGCACCCGCACAAGCGGUGGAGCAUGCCGUUUAAUUCGAAAGUACGCGAAGAACCUUACCUAGGCUUGACAUCCCCGGCAAAGCUAUAGAAAUAUAGUGGAGGCUAUCCGGGUGACAGGUGGUGCAUGGUUGUCGUCAGCUCGUGUCGUGAGAUGUUCGGUUAAGUCCGCUAACGAGCGCAACCCUUGUCUUUAGUUGCUAACAUUUAGUUGAGCACUCUAAAGAGACUGCCAGUAAUAAACUGGAGGAAGGUGAGGAUGACGUCAAAUCAUCAUGCCCCUUACGUCUAGGGCAACAGGCGUGCUACAAUGGCUGGUACAAAGAGCUGCAAGAUCGCAAGGUGGAGCUAAUCUCUAAAGCCAGUCUCAGUUCGGAUUGAAGUCUGCAACUCGACUUCAUGAAGUUGAAAUCGCUAGUAAUCCCGAAUCAGAAUGUCGGGGUGAAUACGUUCUCGGGUGUUGUACACACCGCCCGU